rnacentral:lncRNA from 10 species
GGAAUUGAGAAUACGUUGGAGCAAUACUUCACAUUUUUGAAGUAAAAUGAUCUCCAAACCAGAAUUCUAUACCCAGCCAAACUACCAAUGAGGGAAGCUACCAGAGGAUGUGCUUCACCCAAACAAGGGAGUAAACCAAGAAGAGGGAAACAGAGAACACUGGACUUAAGAAAUCCAACAAUGAGAAGCAAAGGGAAUCUCCUGGAUGAUGAUAAAGAGAGAGCCCAGGAUGAAAGCUGUAUGCCAGGGAAAGUCCUGAUUAGACCAUGUGACAAGUCUUCAGGAAAGACUGCUUCUGGAUGAUAAAAUGAACUGAAUACCUGUUAAGAGACUUGGGGGGUCAAAUUUGCAAUAAGUACCAAACAAAGAAGAUUAAAAAAUGAUAAGUCCCAAGGGAAACAAUAUGUUGUAAAGAAAAAGUAGCUAUAGUUUGUUCAUGACAUAACUGUAACUUGCCUUGUACAUGAUAAUAUAAACACCGAAUCUUCCUCACUUUGUGAAAGAACAAUAUUGGGCAAAUGCGCAGGUUUUGGAAAGUUCCAUGUGUAGGGGGAUGGAGGGAGAAAUUAGCAAAAUCCUCCUUUUCUAUAGCUAAUACCUAUAAAGUGCUACAACACCCAGACAGGAUACUUCUUUGUUGCUUUCAUUAUAAUAUCCUUGGGUAUUGCUGUUGGCUAUUUCUUAAUACUACUUA